CAGUCGCCGCGGUAAUAUGGAGGGUGCAAGCGUUAAUCGGAAUUACUGGGCGUAAAGCGUGCGUAGGCGGUUCGUUAAGUCUGUUGUGAAAGCCCCGGGCUCAGCCUGGGAAUGGCAAUGGAUACUGGCGAGCUAGAGUGUGUCAGAGGAUGGUGGAAUUCCCGGUGUAGCGGUGAAAUGCGUAGAGAUCGGGAGGAACAUCAGUGGCGAAGGCGGCCAUCUGGGACAACACUGACGCUGAGGCACGAAAGCGUGGGGAGCAAACAGGAUUAGAUACCCCCGUAGUCCCUGUCUCUUAUAC
rnacentral:rRNA from 1 species